rnacentral:rRNA from 1 species
GAUGAACGCUGGCGGCGUGCCUAAUACAUGCAAGUCGAACGGGGAGUAUUAAUUUCGAUUUUUUACUCCUAGUGGCGAACGGGUGAGUAACACGUAGGUGACCUGCCUCGAAGACGGGGAUAACCGCUGGAAACGGCGGCUAAUACCCGAUGGUCUCGGCGAUUCGGUUCGUCGAGUAAAGCUCCGGCGCUUCGAGAGGGGCCUGCGGCCCAUCAGCUUGUUGGUAGGGUAAUGGCCUACCAAGGCAAAGACGGGUAGGGGGCGUGAGAGCGUGACCCCCCACACUGGCACUGGGACACGGGCCAGACUCCUACGGGAGGCAGCAGUGAGGAAUAUUGCCCAAUGGGCGAAAGCCUGAGGCAGCAACGCCGCGUGGGUGAUGAAGGCCCUCGGGUCGUAAAACCCUUUUCUGGGGGAAGAGAAAGGACGGUACCCCAGGAAUAAGUCUCGGCUAACUAUGUG